rnacentral:lncRNA from 1 species
UGGUUUCAUGUAUAGAUUCCUUAAUCCUUAGUCCAUACACAAUGCAAUUGAUAGAUGUGAUGAAUGUCAACAUUACAGUAAAACAUGGGUGAAGGCAUCACAAAGAGAGGUCUACCUAGGACCUUACUUGAAUCAGUUAGUAAAAUUUAACAUAUGCAUUUAAAGAAUGUUUGCAUUAUCAGUAGCUAAUUAUUCUCCAAUUUAGGGGCCAUUGGCGACUUGUCAUUGUGUGUCCUAGGAACGAUG